rnacentral:lncRNA from 1 species
AACUACCGUCAUUGUUCAUCAGAAAUUUUGAAUUCAGCUAGAAUGUAAAACAAUUCGGCUUCAAACUUGGAACUCCGAAUACCAAUCAUUAAGUUUUUACUCAGAUACAUUAGGCAUGAUUAUUUUUAGCGUGCAUAUUUUUUACUCUUAUCUUAUUUGUCAAGUCCAUGAGUUUGUUAUAUAUAUUUAUUGUGCACAUGAACAGGU